rnacentral:lncRNA from 1 species
CAGGCUCUUCAAAUUCUGGGGUUGUUGCCUCAGCAAACUCCCUCAAAGCUUGAAUGGCAUUCUCCUGCAUCACAGCAAGCUGUUUGUCAACAUCAAGGUCUGCUGGAAAACCACUCAUAGAAGGUCAAGUGGAGUGUAACAUGUAGAAAUGAAGCAGCCCUGCGUAGAAAAUUGAUCCCACAAGUACAAGGGCUUGUACUUGCCAUGCUAGCGGUAGAGCCGCAAAGGCCAAACUAAAAGAACCCCCAUGGAAAUCACGAUGAACGCGAACACUCCAACCCCAUCAUACCAGGAAAGGAGUGAAAAGUCCACAGCAUAGCAGCGGAAGCACCACCCAUUGAUUUGUG